rnacentral:piRNA from 1 species
UGGCCAGGGCAUCAACAGGAUAGUCUCUA